rnacentral:snoRNA from 1 species
UCAAUGAUGAAAUUAAUUGGUCCGUGUUGAUGAUGUUAUUUGAUUAGAACUUCUCCAAUUGCUGAGCUUC